ACCUCUCGUAGGAACUGUGUAUAGCUGGUUGAUCGUGAUCCAGUUCUUUACCCUAUCACCAAAUUUCUCGAAACAUAGAUCUGCAUAAUCCUUAAAAUCGUCUCUGCCCAUAUUAUAAAUCUUUUCGUUAGUGCAAGAUCAAAUCUUUCUAUUCUUUUUUAUUUAUCGUUUAUAAUAAUUAGCAUGGCAUCAAAUACAUACAUGAUCGUUCUGUUCAAGAAACCGUUAUAUUCAUCUUGCAAUGUUUGAGGAAGGUCCCAGUGAAAGAGGGUAACGAAAGGUGUUAUAUUCCUUGCGAUCAUGUUGUCUAUGAGACGGUUGUAGUAGUCAAUACCACCUUCGUUCACUCCCCUACUCCUCUUUCCUUCUGCUCAUAUAUAUUGCAUAUUUACUCUUCCAAACAAUUUCAAUCGAAUAUUAAUAUACCAUAUAUAUACAUGGAUCAAUAAUGUACACAUACUUGGAAGGAUUCUUGACCAUGCAAAGGAAAAUCUGUAGCCAGUAGCGUUGAGUUCGUCAAUCACGUCUAUAUCUUUCUGCAAUUUAUAUAUAUACACAAUCACAUAGUUGAUAGAUAAUUCAGUGAAUAUAUUAGCUUGCAUAUAUAUAAUGUACUGAGGAACUAACAUGCCAAUUCGUAUAUGAGUCACAAGUAGUGUCUCCAUUUCCCAAAUCGGCUCCACCUUUCUCUGAUAGCGUACAAGCGAUAUUACUAAGAAGACAUAAAAAACAUCCCUCGCAUAUAGAUGUGUAAGCAAAUAUAUGUAUAUAGUAACCAUGCUUGCUGCAAACCUGGGAACCGGUGGGUGAAGCCAUCCCAAACGUUAAGUCCACGACCUCUGCCGCCUUCCACCUGAGAUGAAAAGAAAUUACCAUGCAACAUUAGAUUUUAGUGUUUUUUAAAAUGGGUCUGGAAACAUAAUGUGUGAUUUGUUACAUGCCUGGUAAGCAGAAGACGAAACACCGAAAAUGAAGUCUUUUUCGAAACUGCCACUGUUGAAAAGUUUAGUUUGGUCACUUGUGAAUGGCUCGUUUUCUUCACAAGUAAACUCUUCACCUUUACAAGUCGCCUAAGAAGCUUCAUGGUUAACUUGUAGUGUGUAUGUUUUGUGUUGCAUGGAAGCCUUGUGCAAUUCUAGGGUUUAUAUAGCCUUUGUUAGAGAAGCAUGACGUAUGCAUUACCUUGUCUUAGCGUCAUGAUAUUUUGGGAGGUUAAGUUGACAUGAAUCCCGUGGGUUUGCUUACUCUAGCUGAAUGUUAAUUAACCUAUUUUGGUGAUAUUUGUUCUUUUAUUUGUUUCCACUUUUCAGACUGCUUUACUCUUCAAUCAAUCAUUUCAUUGAGGAAAAUGUUGCAUUCUUUUACUCAAUUGUGAAUUGCUUAUUACUAUCGUUAUCUCUAUUGAACAUUUGUUUCUUAUCCAGAACACGACUUGGAGCACAAACUAAGUUACAUCUUCAAUUGAUUGGUCAAUAGUCAUGCAAUAUAUAUAGAAUGUCCGCACAAAACUAGAAAGUACUAUAUGCAUCAAGAAUGUUAGUAGAUUAUGUUCAGAGCCUUUUAUGUUAGAAUCUAGAAUAUGAUCAAGUGUUCCAUUAAUCUAGAAUAACAACUCCCUUAGAUAAUAAUAAUAAAUAAUAAUAGAUACAUGAAUCAAUCGUAGGCCAUUCAUCACGAGGCUCAACGCUCACACCUCACAGUCACAGCAUAUCUCUUAUGGAUUUUCCCUGAUCGAUACUUUAUCACAUGAAACUAGGGCUCUCUAUCCAAAAAGACAAUAAAUAAAACCAACCAACCUUUUGCUUUUUUUUUUCCAUCGUUAUUAAAAAUUGGAGGUGCUUUAUCCUAUGAGUCAUCUUCCCUUUUCUUCUGGGAUUGCCAAGAGGAUCAUGCAUGUAAUUCUUCUGGGUACCCACUGUGGAGAUUUGAAUUCGUGAUCUUGACUGUAAUUCUUUAGAAAUAUCCCAUGAUACACUAAUAGAGCUACAAAGGCGAGGUCGAACAGUCUUAUUUUCUUUUUAGUAACCAUUAAUUGUUUAUUUUUGUGGUGUUUAAAAAAAAAAGACAAGUCUUUAAUUUCUACCAAAGUGAUAAGAAAUUCAGGCAUAUAUACAAAUAUACAACCUAUCUGAAUCAAACAUUAUACAGUAUGUUGUGUCGGUUGUUCCUCUCGUCUGUAUUUCAUUGAGUAUGGCCAGCCAUAGGCCAUGACUUUUAUAAGCACUUGACGGUCACAAGUAAUUUAUUGCAUUCUAUGAAAUCUUGUUGAGUUAAAAAUAAAAUUACCCUAAAUGAAAAACAAUGUGUUUUUUAAUAAGAACAAUUUGUUUUUUUUUUUGUAGGUAUUCAUUGUGCUAAUGUUGACGUACAUAAAUAUGAUAUUCAAUUUAAUAUGUCGAGUGCAUUAUAUAUCAUAUAGUACAUACAUCACAUGUUUUGGGCGUUCUUAGUCUGAUAUGUACAUACAAUAUAUCAUAGUACAUGUUUUAGGGUUUUUAUUUCCUAAAUUAGAGUUUUACAGUAAAUUGUAUAUUCAAUAUAGCCACAAUAAAGAAAUAAGUGAUCAUUGGGAAGAAGAAAAUAAAUUAAAAAUAUUGCACCGGUUACUUGCACAAUAUGAUUGUAGAAGAUGAACGAGACCAAGAGACUCAGUUCAAUUUAUCUGAUUUCAUAUAAGGCGAAGGGAAGGGAGUAGAUACGUCUACAAAUGUGAACAAUAUGAUGGCCAAUCGAGCCCAAAAUCGUGAAGAACAAACGCAUCGACCAUUAAAAAAAAUUUUGAUUGAGCAUAUUUGGCAAAAAUCGGGCCAAGGUAAUUCUACCUUUUGUAAUCCUAUGUUUUUAUAUAUUUAUUUUCGAUGUUGCAAAUUUUUUAUUUAUUUUAUGAUACUUAAACCGGUCUCACCAAUGGAAACAGAUUUAUUAGCAGUAUAAUACAAAACUAGAUUUUAACCCGCGGUACACCGCGGGAUGAUUUAAUUUUAAAGUUAGUAUAAAAAUAUUUUGUAAAUUGUAUCUCCUUAUAACAUAUUUAUUUAUAUUAUAGUUUACAAUUGUUAUUAAGUAACGGUAUACCACGAGUCCACGAGAUAAUUAUUAAUAAAUUGAGGAUUUAACCCGUAUUAAAGCGGUAUAUAAAUAUUGAUUCAAAUUCGUCCGCCAUAUAAAUCAUUUCCGAAAUAUAACCCGUUCCGUAAUUUCUUAACCCGUCAUGUGAUUUGUAUUAAAAAAAAAUAAGGAUUAAAUCCGUAUUGAAGCGGCAGAUUAAUGAUAUUUUAAUCUUUUUAUUAUUGUUGAUUCAAAAACCCGUCCCGCCAAACCCAUCCCGCCAAAAAACUCAUUUAUUUUAUUAAUGUUCUUAUUUAUGAUAUGAUUCUGAAUCAUUGUCUAAAUAUUUUAAUCGAUGUAGAACGUUGAACACACAUUUUCGUCAAUUGGAUAAUAUAUGUCCGUUUUAAAAAUUUCGAAUCACAGUAUAUGCAGAAAAAAAAUUGAUUUUUUUUUACUUUAUGUAUUAUAUAAUGAUUCAAAACAGUUAAAAACAAAUCAAACAAAGAUGAUAGGAGAAUCAUAAUUAUAAAUCUUAAUCAAAUCUUCUAAAAAUCUAAAUUAUUAAAUAUGGAAUAUCCGGUGUAUGAGUUGGGUUAAAUAUAACCCGACCCAACAAAUUUUUUGUGAAGGAAUUUUUAAAAUGGGUCGGAUAUCCGAUAUACCCGAAAGCUUUUUUACCCACCCGUCACAAAAAGUGCUGCGAUUAUACUAGUAUAGAUCUCAAACAAUAAAAAAAUAUUAAAAUUAAUAUUAAAAAAUUGCUAAUGAUACUCUAUGAGUACCAACUAUGUGCAUGCUCUAAGGGUUUUAAAUAUAUCAUAUGUCACAGUACGAACACUACAUGUAUUAUGGUUUAGGUUUUCUAAGAAUUAGGGUUUCGUGUAGGUAUAAAAAUACAUAUAGACCGUGUUCUUUUCACUUUCGCUAACGAGACACCGUCCGGCGACCGUAAUUAGACUAUUUUUCUCUCUGUUUAUUACUCAGCGACACCUUCAAAUUCAACCUUCCAGCAAGCUCAACCUUUCAACGGGUUGCUGGUGUCGCUAAUUUUCUGACGACUAUAUUGAACGACACGGUAGUCACUAUUUAUCAUCUCUGUAAAAGCUAACUGGUCGCUAGAUUUUAAACCUGUCAAAAUUUCAGUGUUAAUUUUUCAGGUGCUAGUGACAGUAAAAAGAACACGGCCUAUAGUAUGCGUAUGUAAAUAUUUGAUCGAGGGAAAAAUUAGUCAUAUAAAUUAUAUGAUGUCCUGUGAUCCAAUAAAGACAUGUAGGGUGACACGGAAUGCAAUAAAAGCUUAAAAGGGUGAAUAAAUGAUCUGGUUCGGAGAGAUGAUUUAUAUCUAUAUAAUAGAUACAAUAUUAAAAAACAAUGGGAAAAAUGUCGUUUUAUCUCACAAUUUUCAAAAAGUGGCCAAUCAAUACGUCAACUUCGUAUGUGGCCAUUUUAAACAUGAAAUAAACGUUGACUAACGUUUGAGACAUGGAAAUUCGUUGACCAUGCCAAAAUAGACAUGCCGUUAUCAGUCGUUAACGGAACUUCUAACGCCCGUUAUCACCCAUAAUGACUCUGUUAAUCAACUUUCAAAUUGUGGCCAUUUUAAACAUCAACUUCAUAUGUGGCCAUUUAAAACAUGAACUAAUCGUUGACUAACAUUUGAAACAUGAGAAUUCGUUGACCAGGCCAAAAUAGACAUGUUGUCAUCAUUCGUUAAAAAAACCUAUAACAUCCGUUAUCACCCGUUAACGACUCUGUUAGUAUAUCCAAACGACGUCGUUUUGAAAAUAAUCGAGGACAAAUUUUUUGUUUAAAGCAUAAUCCAAGGACAUGGUUUGAUAUAUAGACAAUCGUAGAGCCAGUGAUUGGAAGCAAACAUCGUUUAUAUAUUUGUUUUAAAUCUAAAAAGGAAUCAUGAAAGCAAACUUGUAGACCCAUCAUAGGACUAAAAUAGGCAUGGGCGUUCGGAUAUUCGGGUCGGGUUCGGGUCGGGUUUUAAUUUUCGGGUUUGGGUUUUUCGAGUUUAGAAAACUAAGAUCCGUUCGGGUAUUUUAAAACUCCGGGUUCGGGUCGGGUUCGGAUCGGGUAUUUCGGGUUCGGAUUCGGGUUUACCCAAAGUAUCCAAAUAUUAGAAAUUUUGUAUCCGAUCCUAUGCAAAGUAUUGAAAAAUACACAAAAAAUCUAUAAAACCCAAGUAUUUUAACCCGAAUCUAACCCAAAGUAGCUAAAACACCCGAAAAUAUCUUAACAUCCGAAUAAUUUUGGCACUUAGGUUAUUACAAGUAUAAAUAUUACUAAUAUACUAUAACUAUGUACUUAUAUUUUGGGUAUGUUCGGGUACUUCUUCGGGUUCGAGUUCGGGUCGGGUUCGGGUUUUCGGGUUGUCCAGUUUAGAAUCCGUUCGAGUAUUUUAAAACUUCGGGUUCGGGUUCGGGUCAGAUUUUUUGGGUCGGGUUCGGUUUGGUUCUUCGGGUUCGGGUAUUAUGCCCAGGCCUAGACUAAAUGUAGCUUUUCUGAAAUAGAGAUAGAGAUAAUAGGACUAUUCAUCUUGUUUGAGCUGUUGUAGAAAUAGAUUUGGGGAUUUGGUGUUUUCAUUUGGGAAAAAUCUUUUUGGACAUACUAACAGUGUCAUUAACGGGUGAUAACGGAUGUUAUAGGUUCUGUUAACGAAUGAUGACGACAUGUCUAUUUUGGCCUGGUCAACGAAUUCUAAUGUUUCAAAUGUUAGUCAACGAUUAGUUCAUGUUUUGAAUGGCCACAUAUGAAGUUGAUGUUUAAAAUGGCCACAAUUUGAAAGUUGAUUAACAGAGUCGUUACGGGUGAUAACGGGCGUUAGAGGUUCCGUUAACGACUGAUAACGGCAUGUCUAUUUUGGCCUGGUCAACGAAUUUCUAUGUCUCAAACGUUAGUCAACAUUUAUUUCAUGUUUUAAAUGGCCACAUAUGAAGUUGACGUAUUGAUUGGCCACUUUUUGAAAGUUGGGAGAUAAAACGACAUUUUUCCCAAAAAACAACCUAAACGACUAUGUGUGAAUGCAGGAUCUCGUGUGUUUGAUUAGGUAUAAGAACUAGAACCGCAACCGGAUCCCAAAAGCUAAAGUAGUGUUUCUCAGUUUAGAGGCUCCAAAACAGAAAACGUAUAGGAUUUCGGCCACAUCCAAAAAUCUUUGAGAGCCAAUAAGAAGCUUGGUUAUUGUUUUUGGAGUCAAAUAUGACUAGAUCUCGUGCGUUUGAUUAGGUAUAAGAACUAAAACCGCAACCGAAUCGCAAAAGCUAAAGUAAGAAAUAGAUGAUCGGGGUCAAAGUUUCUUUAAUAACAUGAGAAGUAAGAAAUAGUUCCCGUGACCUAACGCAAAAUUUUGGCUCACACGAUCCUGAAGUUUUUUUUCGAAAGAAUUACUACCUUGUUUUUUAUGGGCAAUGGUAGUUUUGUAGCUGGCUAAUCAUUUUGUAAAUAACUUACGUUCAAAUUAAACACAAUACAUUUUCCUUAAUAAGAAAUUGAUAGCAAAGUGAACAAUUGUAACACCCCGGUUUCAAGAUUAUGAUGCUGCAUGCGGAGAGGUUUAAAAGAAUUGAUUUGGCCACCUAUGUCAGCAGAGUGCACUUAUCUUUCUGGUUAAACGUCUUGAGAGAUCCCCACAAUUAAGCGUGCUUGAGCUGGAGCAAUUUCAGGAUGGGUGACCUUGUGGGAAGUGAUUAUCGUCAGAACUGUGUGAGUGAGGACAAAACACAGGGAAAGAUCAUAUGGUGAUUUGUAUGGUCGGUAACAAGUCUCUAAAGCCUCCCGGACAUAACGGACCGACCGUCGGACAGGGGUGGAACCCAUGGACUCGAGAGAGGACGUGAGUGCUCACAGGUAGGGACGGUCGGGGUGUUACAACAAUAAGUAGGUGUAAGGAAAAAUAUGAAGCUAAAGUGAAGUAAAUACAUGAAUUUUAUUAUAGUUUUCUUUGAAGGAUUACAAUGACGAGAACAAAGCAAGACUAACUAGGAAAUUUUGGGCGUAAAAGAAGAUGAUCUUCCUUCUUGAUUUCUUAUGUUCCUAUAACACUUAUCCUUGUUAGUUGUUAAUGUGUCUUCAAUCUAACCUCAAUGACUUAAGUGAUAAUAAGUCUAGUGAUCUAUAUUAAUCAUGUUGUUAUCUAAAUACCAGGGGUGGUGUCGAUCGACACUUGCACGAAUUUUGGUCUUCGGAUUGCUCUCGUAGCAUAACUUAUCGGUUUUGCUCCAGAAAUCUCUAUAAUCUCCAAAUUAGUCUCGAACGUGUAAAAACUGCAAAACACUAAAAACUACUUUAGAAAUAAGAAAAAGACUCUAAAACUGACACAUAUAUCAUGACUAAAAACGGUAAAAUCCAUGAUAUAUCAAUAUUCAAUUGUUUCUGAUUACUACUAUUGGUUCAAAGUUGUAACAUAUUCUUUAAUAAAAAGAUAAAAGAAAUUGGCAAAUAAAUAAUUAAAUAGUGAUUUUUUCUUAAUUUAUGUAAAAACUCUAGAACAUCAAAAUUUUAGGAACAGACGGAAUAUGAAAGAAAUUUUUCAAAUUAUAUGCAUAACUAUGGAUGUGAGAUCUGAGUUUAUAAAUUUCAAUUUGGUGCGGAUUGGUUUUAUUGUGUUCUUAUCCUUUGAUAGUUUGUAAAUUUCAAUUUGAUCCGAGUUUUAUUCCGACAAUAAAGUAUUUAUUAAUACCGAUCAUCUUUUAUUAAUAUUUUUAUUUUAAUACAUUAGGCAGAAAAAGCUUCUUAUCUAUGGAGGAAGUAGAAAAGGAGACAUAAGAUGAUCUUGGUGGGCAUAUAGUGGUUCGGGUCUUUCAUGCAUCAGCAAGACUCUUCCGGUCACGAUUCUUGACGGAGACGCUUGAGCGGAGUAGAUCUUGGUUCGUAGAGUCCUCAGUGGUAACGUUUAUGAACUGCUGGUACCAUUUGCCAGAUGCUUUGAGGUCUCUAUCACCGGUUACAUUGGUGAAAUCGACGUAACUUAGUCCGAAUCUGACGGUAAAUCCGUUACAGAACUCGUAAUUAUCCCCAAGAGCCCAAGCAAAGUAUCCUUUCACGUUGACAGCCUUCUCCCUACAAACAUGAACAAUCAUUAUUUAUCAGGGAAUAUAUAUAUAUAUAUAAAGAGCAACGUAAGAAAAGUAUCAAUGUUUCAUCCACUCACUUGAUGACUUUACUGAGAAAACAGAGAUGACUACAGAGAUAAUCAAUCCGCUUGUAAUCGGCAACAGCCUCGUCAAAGGAUUCAUCACCGGGGGUACUAAUUCCUAAACAUGAACAAGUAGACAAUAUUUGAUUCAAUUUCUUGGACCAACUCCGAAAUAUAGUAGACAUGUAUAGAUAAUAGAGUGUAGAACUCACCAUUCUCGGUGAUAUAUAUUAAAGGAUCACCGUAUUUGUUUUUGAAGUACUCCAUUACGUAGUAAAUGCCUUUUGGGUAGUAAUAACUGCCUGCAUUGAACUGAGAAAGAGAAGUAUGUAUAUAAUCAUGAAAAAUGAAUGUUAUUUUGCUUAAAAAGAAAUGGAAAAUGGAUCAUGCGUACCGGUGGACCAGGAGCAUGACCAGUUGCAUUUGUAGCUGUGAACACAAGGAUGGAAUAAUUUAUGAAAAUGUUGGACCAGGAGCAUGGUCAGAAAAUGUUGUAAUUACAAUGAGAUAGAUAUAUCGAAAUAUUUUAACUAAGUGGAAAUAGAGUGGUACAUGUGAGAGUUGCGCGUGAGUCCAUCAAGGCAGUGUGUACGUCCGGAGGAACAAUCGUGUCAUUAUUUUGGGCGUACUGAGUGACGUAAUAGUUGAGACCAAGAAAAUCAUAUGAACCCUUUACAAGGGCAGCUUCUGUUUCAUUGAACUCUGGAAGCCGAUCUCCCACAUAUUCCCUCAUGAUGUCUGGGUAUUUACCUUCUGUUAGCGGCCCCAUGAACCUGCAUGCAUAUUUCUAAUUAGCUUACUUAUACAUAUCAAUGUUUAAAAAUCAUUUCAUAUUUUGAUAUUAUAUACCAUCCAUGGAAAAAUUCUUUAGCCCGCUCAGUUGCCUCCUUACUCUCCGGAGUGUCAUCAUAUGGAAGAAACCAUCUAGUUAUCAUCACAGGUCCAAUCUUUCCUCCUUGGUCCUGUGGUCACGUAAGCAUAUAUAUACACAAUGAUGAUUAAAAUAUAAUCACAUGUUAGAUCACACAUUUUAAAAUAUGGAGAACUCACCUUAUAUUUCGUCCUGUAAACAUCAACAGCCGCUGCAUGAGCAAGAAGCUGGUUAUGUGCAACGAGAUAUGGUUCUGUUGACGAAUUUCCGCCAGGGCAUCUUUCGUCAAUCUUAGGAGAACAUCGACCGGGUGCAUCUGUUCCUAGUGCAUAUCCUCUCGUAGGAACUGUGUAUAAUUGGUUGAUCGUGAUCCAGUUCUUUACCCUAUCACCAAAAAGUUCGAAACAUAGAUCCGCGUAAUCCUUGAAAUCGUCUCUGCCCAUAUUAUAAAGUCAUUUCGUUAGUGUAAGAUCAAAAUAUUUCUAUUUUUUUAUCGUUUUUAAUAAUUAGCAUGGCAUCAAAUACAUACAUGAUCGUUCUGUUCAAGAAACCAUUAUAUUCAUCUUGCAAUGUUUGAGGAAGGUCCCAGUGAAAGAGGGUAACGAAAGGCGUUAUAUUCCUUGCGAUAGUGUUAUUUAUGAGACGGUUGUAGUAGUUAAUACCACCUUCGUUCACUCCCCUACUCCUCUUUCCUUCUGCUCACAUAGAUAUUGUAUAUUUACUCUUCCAAACAAUUACAAUCGAAUAUUAAUAUACUAUAAUACAUGGAUCAAUAAUGUACACAUACUCGGAAGGAUUCUUGACCAUGCAAAGGAAAAUCUGUAGCCAGUAGCGUUGAGUUCGUCCAUCACGUCUAUAUCUUU
rnacentral:lncRNA from 1 species